rnacentral:tRNA from 1 species
GCCCUUGUGGCACAAUGGUUAAGCACUUGGCUGGUAACCCAAAGAUUGGUGGUUCGAACCCACCCAGUGGUG